UCGCUUCCGCGGUGCAUAUACUAAAAUUGGAACGAUACAGAGAAGAUUAGCAUGGCCCCUGCUCAACGAUGACACGCAAAAUCGUGAAGCGUUCCAUGUUUUC
rfam:Schistosoma haematobium scaffold1304_1, whole genome shotgun sequence.